AGACACAGCUUUUUUGGAGAAAGAGAAGGUGAGGUUUUAUUGCUGAGCAAUAAGGACCCAGUUGGAAUCUCUUCCAAAGAACUGGGACCCCGAGAAAGACAAAUCCUGAGCAAAUCACAGCAAAUCACAGAUCAUGAGACAGUCAUGAGACAGUCACAAACGCCAGCGAAAAUUAGCCAAUUAGCGUGCUUCUUGCCAUGCUUACGACUCCUGGUCAAGUGCAGAGUUCUACUCCCAACUUCUGCUUUCCGUUGUCUGCACAAAUGAUGCACAAUGAUGCACAAUCUGACCUUUCCCCCAGUUCUGACAGAACAGGGAGUUUUGGAGUUUUUGUGGUUUGGCCCUUCCUGUUCUGUGGAUUAUUUUAGCCUGCAUUUGAGGGGGAUUUUGUACCAGUGUCUCUGAUUCAUGUCUUCCCCUUUGUUCAGGGUACAAGGAUGUUUCUAGGGGAAAGGUCGGUUCUAAAGUUGCUGUUCCAAGCAGUUUGCUGUUAGCUAAGGCAAAAGCUUUCCUUUGAUUCAAAAUGGAUUAUAAAAAUACUGUAAGCCCUGAUUAUGUGUGAGCAUAUAUGAAUAUAUUGAUUACUGAUAACUGAUUAUAUGAAUAGCAUAAGGGUAGCCCUUCUUUCCUUGCCUCACCAUAACUUCUCUAUUAGAAGCACACUCAAGGAUUUAUAGGGGUUCACAUUAUUAUAUUUAUUGUGGCCCUUUGGGCCACCACCACAGUCCAGCUGCUGGCUUAUUCUAUUCCAAAGUGGCUAGAGGCUGAAGUUGCGGUAAACCUGCUCACCCCAACUAGGCAUGGGGGGAUUCCAUUCAAUUCACAUUUAAAGGUGAAACUGUAUAAUUUGCACUUUCCAAAGCAAAAGACGAACAGAAAUCACACUUCUCCAAAUUUUGCCAGGCCAGGUACAGUGUUCAAAAGUGAAUAUACCAGGGUAAAGUGACCAUACAAUUGCAUAUAUUAGUGAAAAGAACAUAGAAAAAUGCAUUAUACUAGGGAAAACUGCUUUGAAAGUUAGCUGGUGAAUUGCACACUUGGAAAAGCCAAACCUGCAAAAAUAUCUGCAAGACACAGUUGCCCUGCUAGGAAAACAUUGACAACCUUAGCUUGGAGGGGAACUAGUAUACCUACGUUAAAAAAAUGUCCCCAGCAACCUGGCAGAAAACAAAGCUGAGUUGUUUGAACUUCUACAACAGGAACCCGCCUCUUAAAUCUUAAAACGAAGGUGUUCCUACAGGCAGCACCGCUUAGAAGGCGUAAGGAGGUAAUGGACUGCGCCGAGACAUAAGUGCAACAUAAAGUAUAGGCUCACAUGUGCUGGCAAUGAAAAAGCUGACCGGAAAUAAAGUGUCCAGUAUUUCUAGGUGUAAAUGUCCCUCAGCUGCCAUAAAAACAGUAAAACAUACAGCAACGCGGUUCCAACCUACUUUACAGCAGCGAGGAGAGUUUCAAGCCUUCAAGUUCCACAGUUCAGAAACCUGUUCAAGUUUGGACACAUUUAUGGCCGAACGUCAAUUUAGACCAAAAAAAUGGUCUAAAUACUGUCAGAAUAAAACCCACUUUCUUUGAGAUCUAGGACAUGAAGGCCUUUACUGAGUGAAACACCACAACCUUCACUGAACUGCAGCUCAACACAUAAAGUUGCAGUAAAAAAACAAGCCUGCAAAGUCUUUCCUGCCCCCUCCAUUGAUUGCCUUGCUAGAUGAGAUCACUAGAUCUAUUGGCAAUGCCUAGUUUUUAUGCCUGAGCUUUACAAACCAGCUUCACCACAGUGAACCUCUGACAUUUGCUAGAGCUGUUUAUUCCCGCAGUAGCCUCUGUUACAGAAGUUCACGACUGCGUGCAGCCGGCUGGUUUUUGGGCACAGGAUUUGCAUCUUGCUAAAAUGAUACUGAAUUGCUGUUGGUGGUAUCCUUCUGUCCCAAGAGACAAUGGAGUGCACCCCCAGGGGUGAAGACAAACCGCUGUAUUAGCAACACCAAAGUGACCUCCCCAGAGCGCAAACCUCGGCAGUGUGUAUGGAGGUCCUGGACUGCCCAGAUGACAAGACUCCCCUCUCAGCCUUGCUGAUGUGGUCCAAAAGAAAGCAGAGCAAUGCAUUUGGCAUCAACUUGGCUGCAGGAGUUGCUGGAAGGAGGCGUACAAGGCACUAUCAAACUGUCUCAGGGACCCCACUCUGGAUUUGUGUAGGGUUUACUCCUAAGCUUUUUCUUCUCCCAAAGAUGUCCCACAAGGCAACAGAGGCUUAGGACCAGAGUUUUCCUUCUCCUAGAUGGGCUACCUUCCCAGGUUGAUGAGCCCCAUCUGCCCCUCACUUCCUUCUAUAGCAUGUGCAGAAACUGCUUUCUUUAUCAUUGAACAAGAAUACUGUCCAAAAAAUACUGUGAAUUGUAGUUUGAGAAGGGGUGCUGUGCACAGUUGUCUGCUUGACAUUCACAGCAGGCCUUUUAAGGGUUAGGGUUAGCCUGUGUAUUCAGUGGCAGAACAGAUCACUGUGCUCUGCAGAUCAGCAGGCGGUGUAUUACAGCUUCCCAGCUGAGCAGCAUUAGCUGACCUGAGGAAUCCCAUGGGGUCCCACUUGCAUGUCUGGUGUCUGGCUUGGUUUCCCCUCUUUUGUUGCAGGUGGAGCAGAACUCCUUCUUAGGCAACCUGAGACACACUGGCCUGCCUCUUGGCUUGCCAUCCUAGCUGCCAGUCUGGACAAGAGACCCAGAUGUGAACUUUGUGGCUUGUGUCUAAUCCGGUCUGAAUCUUUCCAUUAUGUCUGUAAAUGUUCUAAUUCAUGAAGCCGAAUGUCCAGAUGCAGAUGAAAUCUCUGCUUAGCCCAGAUUGUCCCUCAAAGCACCCCCCCCCGCCCCCUGAAUCUUGGGCUGACAGCAGGAAGCUGAUAACUGUCAGUCUGUACUUAGUGUCACCUACAGAUCAUGGGGCUCGCAGCUCGGGUGGCCCUUGUGUCUGUGACUGUGCGGUCCUUGCUUUAUAUUUUGUAACGUCAUAUUAAUGGAUAAAAAAGAUGACUCCUGACCUAUUUUUAGCAUGUUUUAGGAAAUAAUGUCUGUUGCAUGAUGCGCCUAGCAAAAGAUUGAGAGGAUUAUUGAGCAAUAUUAAGCAUUGGCUCAGAGUGACUGAGCAGCCCCUGUGGAGAAAGAUUUGCCCCCACCCCACCCCAACUCCUGUAAGGAUGCUGAAUGGUACAAGUUUGAUUCCUAGUAGUCAGGCUACACUGGACCUGGAAAUGGAGAUAACCCACAGUAGUCAACAUUACCCAGUAAACAUUAGCACACUUUGAUUUCAAUGUGUGUGUUUUAUACUCAAUUGAGUCCUGCUCAGAGAAGACCCAUUGGGGUCUACACUGAGUAGGACUAAUGUUGACCACCACCCUAUGCAUUUCGAUAUUGCCUGCUGAAAUCAAUAGUACUUAAAAGUGCCCAUCUUUGAUUGGUUCAUGUCUGCUGGGCUCAUGUCUAUAGUUAGCUUGUAUUUCGCAAUGCAGGGGCACAACAGUUUAUUGAGACCUUCUCCUCCUCAUCCCCUUUGUUUCAAUGUGUUUUGUGCAAUGAACUUCCAACUCAGCUUGGGGUGGGAGGCAUAAAUUUUAAAAAAGAAAAGCAGAAAGGGAGCAUGAGGCAACUGAGACAGUAAUUGCUAUCGACCUUGCAUCCACACACAUUGAUACAUUCAGUGAAAUUUACAAACUGAUAGUGUAGAUAGCAUAGCAAGUUGCUUGGAGAUAUUGGGAAUCGUCCUUAUGCUGAAAAUCCUUAUGCUGACAGGACAGUUAGGGCUUGUUCACACUUCUGCUUGUGCCAUGCCUAGAAAGCAUGGGUCUUAGUGGUUUUCCGCUUAUCCCAUGCUUUCUAGAAAUGGGUCCAAGAGGUUUUCAGUUUGCUCCACCACUUUCUCCAGGAAAACCUGCUGUUUACCGUGGAAUCGCAGCAAACAUCAGUCCACAGAAAACCUGGUUGAUAUUUGCUCGGAGUUGUUUUCCCAGAGGAAAGUGGCAAGUCAAGCGGAAGUGUAGAUGAGCUCUUACUAAACACUACAUUGGAUACAACCCUUUUGUGUAGUAAGCAUCUAAUAAAUGUAGUAGGAAUAAUAGUAGAGUGCUGUAGACCUGAACCAAGUUUCAUAAGUUUUUGUGUGUGUGUUUUUAAAGCAUGUAUGAGGGGAUAUGACUGGGACUCAACAGCAUGUGCAAGACCACGGAAUGUGAGCAGUUUCUAAACUGCAGAGCUAAAGCCAAUUAAGAAAAUUAAGUCUGAUGUAAUAGCUAAUGAAACCAGUGUAGCAAACAGUGAGUGAGACUGAUGGCCAGGGACAUCUUGCUUUCACAGAGCUCUUCUGUAAUUGUCACAGGAAAGGCCUUGAGAAUAUUUGUUGGCCAGGCUGCUUCCGUUUGUCUUUCAUUCCCUUUCCGUACUAACAUUCCCAUGUUGUUAUUUACACUGUUUACUGAGUAUUAGUAUGAAUCAUAUCUAAUACUAAUAAGAGAUGGCAAUUCAUAGCAUGAGUCCUCAAUUGCUUAGGAUAGCUUAAUGGCCUCUCACAAACAUCUCUGAGAAGGCAGCGGCCUAGUCUGUUCUCUCUGCAUUUUACAGCCUGCAUGCUGGUACUGCCUUUGUCAUGAUUCACUUGACUUUGUUGUUUUCCUUCCGCAACCCCCCGCCAAUGGAAACAAAAUGCCAUCUGAAGAGGAUAAAUUAUAUAAAAUAUUCCUGUGGCAAUCUGGCAUCAAUGAGAUGGCAAAAAGUGUGAUAAAGCUGAGGAACAAAGAGGUGGUUCAUAUGCUUGUUUUCUACAGAAGGGAGUGCCAAUCUGGCACCCAUGAGCACCCAUGGUUUCAACCACACAGCUGUAUCCCUCGGAACCACAGCGUCCUCCCGCACUGCUUUAAUUUGGCUUGAAGGAACCAUUGUCUUGUAGCCAAUAGGAUAUAUUGCUCUCUCUGUGUGUGUGCUUGGUUGCAGCAUAUGCGUGUUGCCCACAAGUGUUUCGCUCAUUUGCAAAUGUGUCAUGGUCCCCAAUAAGUUGGCAGCCUCUGUAUCUCGAGUAAUGUAACAGGCAUGAAUCUGGAGGUAUAAUUUGUUUGCAGCCAGCGCUGCCACCCAGUGUGCUUGGGUUGCUGCCUUAGGCCCACGGAAAUUUGAAGAACAAACUGAAUUGAAGUCCAGGGUGGUUUCUAAAAUACCCUCACUGCUGCUCUCCUGGCAGUGAGGAGCCAUGGGUUCAGGAUUUUGGAAAGCUGUGAAUUGCAUGUUUUCCAGGAGGGAAGUGAUGGUGCUUUCCCCGUGCGGGUCGGAUGCUCUUGUAAAUAUCAUACCUGGCACUGAUCCUACAAACUGCGUAACUAUUGCUGUGAACAGUUACAUUGGGCCAAUACAAUGGCUAUGUAUGCCAAAGCCACAUAUCCUUUCUUUUAU